rnacentral:rRNA from 1 species
AGCAGUAGCCGCGGUAAUACGGAGGAUCCAAGCGUUAUCCGGAAUCAUUGGGUUUAAAGGGUCCGUAGGCGGUCUUGUAAGUCAGUGGUGAAAGCCCAUCGCUCAACGGUGGAACGGCCAUUGAUACUGCAGGACUUGAAUUAUUGGGAAGUAACUAGAAUAUGUAGUGUAGCGGUGAAAUGCUUAGAGAUUACAUGGAAUACCAAUUGCGAAGGCAGGUUACUACCAAUUGAUUGACGCUGAUGGACGAAAGCGUGGGUAGCGAACAGGAUUAGAGACCCCUGUAGUCCCUGUCUCUUAUAA